rnacentral:rRNA from 1 species
ACGGGUGAGUAACGCGUGGGAAUCUACCCAUCUCUACGGAAUAACGCAUGGAAACGUGUGCUAAUACCGUAUACGUCCUUCGGGAGAAAGAUUUAUCGGAGAUGGAUGAGCCCGCGUUGGAUUAGCUAGUUGGUGGGGUAAAGGCCUACCAAGGCGACGAUCCAUAGCUGGUCUGAGAGGAUGAUCAGCCACACUGGGACUGAGACACGGCCCAGACUCCUACGGGAGGCAGCAGUGGGGAAUAUUGGACAAUGGGCGCAAGCCUGAUCCAGCCAUGCCGCGUGAGUGAUGAAGGCCCUAGGGUUGUAAAGCUCUUUCACCGGUGAAGAUAAUGACGGUAACCGGAGAAGAAGCCCCGGCUAACUUCGUGCCAGCAGCCGCGGUAAUACGAAGGGGGCUAGCGUUGUUCGGAUUUACUGGGCGUAAAGCGCACGUAGGCGGACUAUUAAGUCAGGGGUGAAAUCCCGGGGCUCAACCCCGGAACUGCCUUUGAUACUGGUAGUCUUGAGUUCGAGAGAGGUGAGUGGAAUUCCGAGUGUAGAGGUGAAGUUCGUAGA